GGGGUGGAUACUUGCUUGCCAGAGAUCUCUAAGUUUUAGACUCCAAAGGUUCUCUCAGGCUCAAAUGGGGCUUAACAAGGGGAGAGGGUGGAGGUGGACUGGCUUCCCCACAGUGAAGGAUGGUGAAGUGCCCCAAGGUAGAAUGGGAACCGGAACAGUGACAACGAGGCUGCACUCUCCCUCACCUGGUGCUUUCUGUUUCUCUGAGUCACGGAAGUGCCAUAGCCAAAGCGACCUUGGCAAUCACCUCUUAACCUGACCCCUCAUUUCACAAAGGAAAGGGCGAGUGGCUUCUCAAGAUGAGUGCUUCUGCGGCACAGCAGGAGCCUCAGGUCUUUGGAUUCCUAGUCCUGUGUUCCUUUUCUAUAUCAGGCUGCCAUCUUUCAAGAGUCUCUUCCAAACAGUCUCUCUUGACUGCCUAGAAAAUAAACAAGUUGAGGUUUGACUGGAGGCUGAACAAAGGGAAAAGCCCUGGGGGGGCGGGGGAGGGGGGAGCCCAUUCCUUUAUCAGAAUAUUGAUUCUGGAUAAUUUCUACAUUUCUGCAUGAAUUUGGGACAAAUCCUUGUACUUCAUUGCAUUUAAUAGUUCACAAAGCACUUUCCCGGAUAUCAUCUUUGAGACUUCGGCUUCCUGGAAAUAGUGUUGACAAAUGCUCCACUGGAAUGUCAGAGCUGGGCAGAGAAUCAUUUUAAUCCAGGACUCCACCCUACAGAUGAAGAAAUUGAGGCCCAGAGAGGAGAAUGGAUUUACCCAAGUCAGGCAGAUAGAAGCAGAGUGAUCCUAGAGCUCCCAUAGCCCGACUUCUAUCUCAUCUAAUGUUUGUUACACUUGUCUUUCUAGUUAGUCUCCUGUUCAUCUUAAAAUUUUCCUUGAUCAUUUCUGGUCUUAAAUUGUGGUGGUGGUUCUUCAGCUUUUUAAUUAAUAUCACUUAAAUGAGAGGCACGCUUUGGUUAAAUGUAAAUGUAUGGGCUUUGAAGUUACCUGCCUUUAGGACUCCUGUUUUCUUAUUUGUAAAAGGUGUAGAGGCUUAGCUAAUAUGCUUGAUUUUUAAGGAUUAAAUAUAAGAUAUGAAAA